rnacentral:rRNA from 1 species
UACGUAGGGGUCAGCAGUCGUUCGUUCGAAUUGUGGCGUAAAGCGCGUGUAGGCGGCUAUGUAAGUCGGGCGUGAAAUCCCACGGCUCAACCGUGGAAGUGCACUCGAAACUGCAUAGCUAGAGUCCUGGAGAGGAAGGUGGAAUGCUUGGUGUAGAGGUGAAAUUCGUAGAUAUUCGGAAGAACACCAGUGGCGAAGGCGGCUCACUGGCCCGUUACCGACGCUCAGGCGCGACAGCGUGGGGAGCAAACAGGG